CUCUCUCCUCCUCUCCCUUCUCCUCUGCCUUCCUGAUCCUUUCCUUCCUUUCUCCUUUUCCCUCUUAGAAGUCCCUUGAAGUUAUGCAGUGAUGGACUUGCCCCCGUCUACCCCGAGCCCCGGGUGCUGCUGGCUUCAGCUAGUCCACACGUCUCCAAGGUCCUCACAGAAUCCUCCGAAGCAACCAGGAGAAAGGCAUUUUCUGAGGCAUUUGCCUUUCUGAAGCUCUAGGCUCAGCACAACUAGAAAUUCAGGUCCUCUGAUGUUGUUCAAGUCACAGAAAUCGCGGAAUCAUUGUCCAAUUGGUCACUUUUUAUAUCAACUGAGAUUGACGGUAUGCAAUGAAUUAUUCUUCAGUGAAGCCCUUUCCAUGGGAAACUAAUCCUGCAAUGCCUUCUGAUGAACUCAGUCUAUGCCAGUGAGGAAUAACCUGACUUGUGGAGCACUUUCCAUACCCAUGAAUGGACCUGUGGGCACAUAUUCUGAAAGCAACUUGAUGAGAUGGGUUUUGCUCUAUUUGUUUCAAAAGAUAAGAAAAUUCAAGUUCAGAAAGACAGAGCAAUUUACCCCAAAUAACCUAGCCAGAAGAUAUACAUCCAAACCAAAACUCUAACCUAUGUGCUUUCCUCCGAUCUAGUGUAAAUGUCACCUUCUCCAUAACAUUAUUCGUUAUUAAACAUUAAGAUA